rnacentral:rRNA from 1 species
UUUGUAUAAUGGGUCAGCGACUUAUAUUCUGUAGCAAGGUUAACCGAAUAGGGGAGCCGAAGGGAAACCGAGUCUUAACUGGGCGUUAAGUUGCAGGGUAUAGACCCGAAACCCGGUGAUCUAGCCAUGGGCAGGUUGAAGGUUGGGUAACACUAACUGGAGGACCGAACCGACUAAUGUUGAAAAAUUAGCGGAUGACUUGUGGCUGGGGGUGAAAGGCCAAUCAAACCGGGAGAUAGCUGGUUCUCCCCGAAAGCUAUUUAGGUAGCGCCUCGUGAAUUCAUCUCCGGGGGUAGAGCACUGUUUCGGCAAGGGGGUCAUCCCGACUUACCAACCCGAUGCAAACUGCGAAUACCGGAGAAUGUUAUCACGGGAGACACACGGCGGGUGCUAACGUCCGUCGUGAAGAGGGAAACAACCCAGACCGCCAGCUAAGGUCCCAAAGUCAUGGUUAAGUGGGAAACGAUGUGGGAAGGCCCAGACAGCCAGGAUGUUGGCUUAGAAGCAGCCAUCAUUUAAAGAAAGCGUAAUAGCUCACUGGUCGAGUCGGCCUGCGCGGAAGAUGUAACGGGGCUAAACCAUGCAC